UCCUCCCUCUUUCUUCGUGCUUAACACAUGCAAGUCGAACGGAAAGGCCCUGCUUGCAGGGUACUCGAGUGGCGAACGGGUGAGUAACACGUGGGUGAUCUGCCCUGCACUUCGGGAUAAGCCUGGGAAACUGGGUCUAAUACCGGAUAGGAGCCAUUUUUAGUGUGAUGGUUGGAAAGUUUUUUCGGUGUAGGAUGAGCUCGCGGCCUAUCAGCUUGUUGGUGGGGUAAUGGCCUACCAAGGCGGCGACGGGUAGCCGGCCUGAGAGGGUGGACGGCCACAUUGGGACUGAGAUACGGCCCAGACUCCUACGGGAGGCAGCAGUGGGGAAUAUUGCACAAUGGGCGCAAGCCUGAUGCAGCGACGCCGCGUGGGGGAUGACGGCCUUCGGGUUGUAAACGCCUUUCGCUAGGGACGAAGCUUUUUGUGACGGUACCUAGAUAAGAAGCACCGGCUAACUACGUG
rnacentral:rRNA from 1 species